GGGGCUGUAGCUCAAUUGGUAGAGCGCCAAGACAAGGGCUGAUAUGCCUAGGGGCAAAAGGUCCUCGCCCCGCGCGAGUGGCCAAGUCCCUGCCGGGGCCUCCAGAAUGAGGCUCCGAGCACCGCCCGGAUGGGCCGCGUCUGAGAGAUGCGGGUUCGAGUCCCGCCAGCUCCA
rnacentral:tRNA from 1 species